rnacentral:rRNA from 1 species
AAUAAUUCAACCAUUUCAUUAAUACAAAGGACUCCGCCUUUACUAUACAACAAAUGCCUAUAACAGUGGUCGGAAGCAUGAAAAUCACAGCAAUGGCCUUUGAGGAUGACCUACCUUGUACUACUAAGCAGCUCGUGGGAUGGGAUGUGUACAAAUAUAAAAAUCUUAUAAGAAUUUUGUGAUCUUUCUGGACUUAAAGUACAGCCCCAAAAAUGCCAGGGGUUCAUGAUAAAUCCAACUCAUGACUCAUACACAAUUAACAUUUGUGAAAGCUGGAAAACUGAGGGAACCAAAUUGAACAUGAUUCAGCCUGGCACAAAAGAGAAAUACCUGGGAGUCCAUAUAGAUUCCUGGACAACAUUUGCUGAGGUCAACUUUGAAGACAAAAUUGAAGAUUGAUUGAACAAAUUAGAAGCUGCACCCCUGAAACCUUCCCCAAAAUUGGAAUUAUUAAAUAUAUUUACAAUCCCAAGGAUAAUAUACCUCGCUGACCACACUGACUGUAAAUUAUCUCAACUGAGCGGUUUCGACAGCAAAAUCCAAGGUAGACUAAAACAAUGGCUCCAUUUCCCACCCAAUACAUGUUAUGGCCUCUUCUAUUCAAAGAACAGAGACAGUGGACUAGGUAUUCCCAGACUAGAAUGAUUUUUCCAUCUGUCCAAGCUAGAAGACAUCAUAGAAUAAGCCAGUCUUCAGAUUACAUAAUCAGAAAUAUCUCAUUCUCCUGUGGUCUGCAACAGGAAUUCCAAAAGAAAUAGCUGUUAGCAGGGGGUAGUGAAGACUCCCUACCUGACAUCACAGAAAGUAUCCCACCUCCACCCAAGCCCAAGUAUUAUGAAAAACUCAAUGAAUGAGAGAAACCAAAACUCAAAAUAAAAUACCCCAUGCCCCUUAACUGGAGGACCAAAGUGUUCAAACAAUGGAUGAACAUUUAGUGCCAGGGAUCUGGGAUACUUCAUUUCCAAAAUGACAUAAUUAGUAACAAUUGGCUAAAGAGAUACAAAGGAAUAACUAAGAAACAGUUCAUCACUGCAUGAAAAUUGAGAGCUAAUGUGUACCCAGCACGUGAGUACUUGGGAAGAAGGACCCGCAGCGCCAUCACGUCUUGUAGGCAUUGAGUGCUAAGUAUGAAACCUGUUCACACAACCUAGGGCAAUGUCCAGCAAUACAGCAUGCUAGAAUUAAGUGGCACAACAAACUGUGUACUCUGCUAAAGGUUGAGGCUAGAAAGCUAAAGUGGGAGAUAUACGAUGAGCUACACCUACACACAGAAUCAGGGGAACAUAGGAAACCAGAUAGCAUCUUUCCUAAAGAUAAAACAGCACGGGUGGAAGAUGUCACAGUAAGAUAUGAAUCUAAAGCUGACUGCCUCCAGAAAGCAGCAAGGGAGAAGACAUCCUAUUAUAGUAACCUAACCAGGCAAAUAAAAGAUCUCACACAAGCGGAGAAGGUAAUAUACUUUGGAUUUCCAAUGGGUGCCAGAGGUAAAUGGCUCCCAGACAACGGCAAAUUACUAUUUUCACUGGGACUUGAAGAGAAUAAAACUAAGAGAUUAUCAAAAUUCUUCAGUCAGAGACUCCUGUACUCUGCGAACAUGGUAUCCAUAUUUGCCAAUAUAGGAAAAACGCAGCAGGCAUACUUCAUAAACUCUAACUUAUAGAGAUAUGCCAGGGACUCCGAAUAUAAAAAAAAACACUACAUAAAACAGAGAGUUUAGAAUGUUAUAUUUACAAGUUGUAAUAAAUUAAAAGAAUGUUAACAUAAAGUUGUAAAGAUGUUAAUAAAAGUUUGUAUCUUUUUCACCCUACCUCCCAUCCUGCACUAUCAUGUUCCUUCCGGGAAUCUCAUAAUCAUUACGAUAUUCAUGACAGUUGUCACCUGGAUUCGUCCAGUAGAUUGAAUGCGACAUUAUGGCUGUGGACAAGGAACAGAUAGAUAAGGGUUGGACGGGCCACCCGCAGACCUCCCUGGCCCCAAAUAACUCAAAAUAGACACCCCUUUGGGGCAUGUAAAUAAAUAGUCAAAUGCCUCAUCAUGCGUGAUGCGCACGCGAGUGGAUGAACGAGAUUCCCACUGUCCCUACCUACUAGCUAAUGAAACCACAGCCAAGGGAAUGGUCUUGGUGGAAUCAGUGAGGAAAGAAGACCCUGUUGAGCUUGACUCUAGUCUGGCACUGCAAAGAGACAUGAGAGGUGUAGAAUAAGUGAGAGGCCCGCCCGGGCCAUCAAUGAAAUACCACUACUCUUAUAGUUUUUUCACUUACCUGGUGAGGCAGGGGGGUGAUCCCCGAUGGGCUCUAGCUUCUGGCUCCAAGCGCCAGGUGCACACCGUGAACAACCCGCCGCAGGUACAGUGUCAGGUAGGAAAUUUCACUGGGGUGGUACACCUGUCAAACCGUAACACAGGUGUCCUAAGGCGAACUUAGGGAGGACAGAAACCGCCCUUGGAGCAGAAGGGCAAAAGCUCACUUGAUCUUGAUUUUCAGUAUGAAUACAGAUUGUGAAAGCAGGGCCUCACGAUCCUUCUGAUGUUUUGGGUUUUAAGCAGGAGGUGUCAGAAAAGUUAGCACAUGGAUAACUGGCUUGUGCCAGCCAAGCGUUCAUAGCGACGUCGUUUUUUGAUCCUUCAAUGUCAGCUCUUCCUAUCAUUGUGAAGCAGAGUUCACCAAGCAUUGGAUUGUUCACCCACUAAUAGGGAAUGUGAUCUGGGUUUAGACCGUCGUGAGGCACGUUAGUUUUACCCUACUGAUGAUGUGUUGUUGCAAUAGUAAUCCUGCUCAGUACGAGAGGAACCACAGGUUCAGAAAUUUGGUGUAUGUGCUUGGCUGAGGAGUCAAUGGGGCAAAGCUAUCAUAUGUGAGAUCAUGACUGAAUGCCUCUACAUCAGAAUCCCCCCUAAACAUAAUGAUACCACAGCGUAUGAUACCAUACCUCGGUUGUUCUUGGAUAGCCGGGCCUGCCCUCCUGUGUGUGUGUGUGUGACCUGGUGGUUAGAGUCAUCCAUAUCGGGAGUGGAGCAUGGCCGGAAGGGGGUCGCCUCUCUCCCAUAGCACAGCACACGUUCGUGGGGCACCCGGCGCUAAAUCAUUAGUAGACAACCUGAUUCUGGGUCAGGGUUUCAUAUGUAGCAGAGCAGCUCCCUCACAGCAAUCUAUUGAAAGUCAGUCCUUGACACAAGCUUUUAUCUUGGGCC